UACGAAGGGGGCUAGCGUUGCUCGGAAUCACUGGGCGUAAAGGGUGCGUAGGCGGGUCUUUAAGUCAGAGGUGAAAUCCUGGAGCUCAACUCCAGAACUGCCUUUGAUACUGAAGAUCUUGAGUUCGGGAGAGGUGAGUGGAACUGCGAGUGUAGAGGUGAAAUUCGUAGAUAUUCGCAAGAGCACCAGUGGCGAAGGCGGCUCACUGGCCCGAUACUGACGCUGAGGCACGAAAGCGUGGGGAGCAAACAGG
rnacentral:rRNA from 1 species